UCCUACGGGAGGCAGCAGUGGGGAAUUUUGGACAAUGGGCGCAAGCCUGAUGCAGCCAUGCCGCGUGUAUGAAGAAGGCCUUCGGGUUGUAAAGUACUUUCAGUCGGGAGGAAGGUGUUAAGGUUAAUAACCUUGACAAUUGACGUUACCGACAGAAGAAGCACCGGCUAACUCCGUGCCAGCAGCCGCGGUAA
rnacentral:rRNA from 1 species